UAUUUUCUUAAAAAAAGUAGGGUUUGCUGAUUUUUUCUAUUAGUUUAUAACUUUAUAAAAUUUUCUUAUUGCAGCAGCCUUCACGUUUUAAAAACAUUCAUUUUUCACAAUGCCCAAAAAGGAUGAGGCUUGGAAAUAUAUUGAAGAGUUUCCUGGCAGACAAAAAAAUCAAACAAAAUGUUUUUUUUGUAAAGAAAUUAAUUUUGGUGGCAUCAAUAGAUUUAAAUACCAUAUUGCUGGCAUACCUGGCCAUGCUAUUGAGGUAUGUAAAAAACAAACUGUUGAGGCAAAACGUUUCUGUUAUGUCCAAUUAGAAACACAUGAACAAGAAAAGUUAACUAAGAAGAGGCAAUUGGAAGAGUUAAGUGCUAUUGGCUCCCAUGCACCCGCAUCCGCAUCCGCAUCCACAUCCGUACACUGUGUUGGAGAGGGUUCUUCCAUGCCUCCCUUUCAUUCUAGUGCUUUUGCUAGUGCUAGCGCUUCUACUUCUCCUAGUGGCACUAUUACCUUUGGCCCUAGAGUUCGAAAAUUCAGGUUGGAUAGUUAUUUUGUGCCACGCAGUACUCCUGGGGCACAACCCUCGCUUGAGAGCAUGGGUUGGAACAAGGAGGUUCAUGAUGCCGCAAGAAAACAAAUUUGCAAGUUUUGGUACUUUUGCAACAUUCCAUUUAUUGCAGCCAGGUAAUUCUUUUUGAUUUGAUUGCUUCAAGUUUAAAAGUAAAUUUAUAGUUUGAAGUUGAACUCUACUUUGUCUAAUCAUAAUCUAUUUGUGACAGGGCUCCUUAUUGGCAAGGCAUGGUAGAUGCCAUAACCAUUUGUGGUGUGGGGUUUAAAACCCCUACUGAUGUUGAGUUAAGUUGCCCCCUCUUGUUAGAAAUGGUUGAGGAUAUGAAAGUUGAGCUAGAGGACCAUCGAUAGUCUUGGAGCCAGAAGGGUUGCACCAUCAUGACAGAUGGUUGGACGGAUAGGAAGAAUAGAACACUCCUAAAUUUUUUUGUUUACUGCGGAGGAUCCACCAUGUUCUUGAAGUCUAUUGAUGCUUCCUCACAUGUAAAAAAUGCCACAUACUUAUGUGAGGCUAUUGAGGAAAUCAUACAAGAGGUGGGGGAAGAAAAUGUGGUGCAGGUGGUGACAAAUAAUGCAACAAGUUAUGUUGCUGCAGGUAAACUUUUGAUGGAGAGGCACUUGAAAAUUUUUUGGUCUCCAUGUGCGGCCCAUUGCCUUGACCUCAUGUUGGAGGAUAUUGGUAAGCUUGAAUGGGUGAAAUCAAUAGUUGAAAGGGCCAAAAAUAUCAGCAAGCUAAUCUACAAUCAUGCAUUGGUCCUUAGCAUUAUGAGGCAAUACACGGGGCAAAAGGAGUUGGCUCGUCUUGGUAUCAUGAGGUUUGCCUCAAACUUCCUCACACUGAAAUCCUUGAUGAAAUCAAAGGUGGCUUUGAGGCGUAUGUUUGUUGGUGAGGAGUGAACUUCCUCAUCCUAUGCUACGACCACUGUAGGGAUAGAUGUGGGAAAUUGCAUUUUUGAUGAGCUAGGUUUUUGGACCCCUUGUGGAGAAAUUGUGCAGGUCACUGAGCCCCUCGUAGUUCUCCUACGAGUUGUUGAUGGGGAGAAGCCCUCUAUGGGCUAUAUAUAUGAGGGUAUGGAUAGGGCCAAGGAGGCCAUUACGUCCAUCUAUGCAGGAGAUGAGGAUAAGUAUGGCCCCAUUUGGGAGAUUAUUGAUAGGAGAUGGAAGAACCAGCUUCACAGGCCCAUCCAUGCAGCAACCUAUUACCUCAAUUAGGCAUUUCGAUUCCGUGAUGACUUCAAGGCGGAUGAGGAGGUUCUUAGUGGCCUGUAUACAGUGGUAAAAAAGUUGUGUACUAAUGGCACAACUUCAAGUACAACGCUCCAGCUAGAUAAAUAUAAUAAUCAAGAAGGGGCAAUCUUCGUAAGCAGCAUGUGCAUAGAGGCUCGGACACAAUUGCAGCCAGGUGCCGAACACUAUUGCUGUUCAAAUCCACGGGCGUGCCAGCCCGGAGAAAGUACCAAGCCUGUGAUCAUAGUGGCCCAGCUGGGAUUUGAACCUUGGUGGUGAUUUCACCAAGCAAGUGUUUUAACUGCUGAAUUACAUGGGUCACCCCAACAAUUUAUCUUGCACGGAACAAAUGUCUGAGUGUCACACAUUUGCCCAUGAAAGUUAUUGAACACAGUGACAAUGAAGAUGCCGUUAGAGACAAAAAUUCUAGCAAGAAAUUUCAGCAAAGUCAGAAUAGGAUGGAAUGGGUUGGUCUGUAUCAAGGGUCACACAUAUUAUCUCGAAAGCCACACAAGGCAGAAGAAAAUUUAUCCCCUAUUUCACCUUUGAUGCAGAACAGUCCAAAUACCAAAACAGCCAUGUUUCAACAGUUCUGGAAAGCUGGGGAUUAUGAUGUCCAAGUUACAAAACGGAAAUCCUUACCAGAUUCAUUUUUAUUCUUUUCUAUAUGAUAGCAUCUGUUGGUUCCUAUAAAUCAGAUUAAUGAAAUACAUAUUGAACAUCAUAAUACAGCAUGCUUUAAAAACGUUGUGCCACAAUUUUGAUAUUUUUAUGGCCAGUAAACUCAAUUUCUACUUCAAAAGCAGUUGACAAGCAUGUCAUUAUUUUUACACUUCUUUCGAGUAUAAGAAAUGGGCGUUAGUUUCUGCUAUAGAAAUAUACAUGACAGUUAUAAAGGAGAUUGUGUUUUGCUCUGAUAGACAGGAGCAAUAAAGAAUGU